rnacentral:rRNA from 1 species
AGUGAACGCUGGCGGUAGGCCUAACACAUGCAAGUCGAACGGCAGCACAGUAAGAGCUUGCUCUUACGGGUGGCGAGUGGCGGACGGGUGAGGAAUACAUCGGAAUCUACUUUUUCGUGGGGGAUAACGUAGGGAAACUUACGCUAAUACCGCAUACGACCUACGGGUGAAAGCAGGGGAUCUUCGGACCUUGCGCGAUUGAAUGAGCCGAUGUCGGAUUAGCUAGUUGGCGGGGUAAAGGCCCACCAAGGCGACGAUCCGUAGCUGGUCUGAGAGGAUGAUCGGCCACACUGGAACUGAGACACGGUCCAGACUCCUACGGGAGGCAGCAGUGGGGAAUAUUGGACAAUGGGCGCAAGCCUGAUCCAGCCAUACCGCGUGGGUGAAGAAGGCCUUCGGGUUGUAAAGCCCUUUUGUUGGGAAAGAAAAGCAGCAGGUUAACACCCCGCUGUUCUGACGGUACCCAAAGAAUAAGCACCGGCUAACUUCGUG